AACGAACGCUGGCGGCAUGCCUAACACAUGCAAGUCGAACGAACCCUUCGGGGUGAGUGGCGCACGGGUGCGUAACGCGUGGGAACCUGCCCUUAGGUUCGGAAUAACAGUGAGAAAUCGCUGCUAAUACCGGAUAAUGUCUUCGGACCAAAGAUUUAUCGCCUUUGGAUGGGCCCGCGUUGGAUUAGCUAGUUGGUGGGGUAAAGGCUCACCAAGGCGACGAUCCAUAGCUGGUCUUAGAGGAUGAUCAGCCACACUGGGACUGAGACACGGCCCAGACUCCUACGGGAGGCAGCAGUGGGGAAUAUUGGACAAUGGGCGAAAGCCUGAUCCAGCAAUGCCGCGUGAGUGAUGAAGGCCUUAGGUUGUAAAGCUCUUUUACCAGGGAUGAUAAUGACAGUACCUGGAGAAUAAGCUCCGGCUAACUCCGUGCCAGCAGCCGCG
rnacentral:rRNA from 1 species